CCUACGGGAGGCAGCAGUGGGGAAUAUUGCACAAUGGGGGAAACCCUGAUGCAGCGACGCCGCGUGAGUGAAGAAGUAUUUCGGUAUGUCAAGCUCUAUCAGCAGGGAAGAAAAUGACGGUACCUGAUUAAGACGCCCCGGCUAACUACGUGCCAGCAGCCGCGGUAAUACGUAGGGGGCAAGCGUUAUCCGGAUACACUGGGUGUAAAGGGAGCGUAGACGGCCAUGCAAGCCAGGGGUGAAAGCCCGGGGCCCAACCCCGGGACUGCCCGUUGAACGUCAUGGCUGGAGGGCGGGAGGGGCAGGCGGAAUGCCGGGUGUAGCGGUGAAAUGCGUAGAGAGCAGGAGGAACACCGGCGGCGAAGGCGGCCUGCUGGACCGCGACUGACGUUGAGGCUCGAAAGCGUGGGGAGCGAACAGGAUUAGAUACCCCAGUAGUC
rnacentral:rRNA from 1 species